rnacentral:lncRNA from 1 species
AUGGGACAACAGAGAAAGGAGGCUCGCUGGGCCCUCAGAACCUGGGCAGCUGCCCGCAGCUGGGUCUGUAGGGCGCCCCCUGCAGGAACCACUUGGGCUCUCACCUGCACCAGAAGGGCAGUCAUAAUCUGGUGGUCUCUGUUUGCCGCACACUCCCUUCUGCCCAGGAUGGGUGAGGAAUGGGGCAGGACAGGAUUCCAUCUUCUGAUGGUGGGUCUGGAGACGGGCUCCUUGCUGUGAAGAGAGAGACCGUCCUCGGUUCUCCUGGCCCACUUGGAAAUGUCACACCCCAGAGGAUUCCUGCAGUCACUGCGGCCUAAAUAAACAGUGAUGCUGGAGCUCAUGAGGAGGGCCCAACCCGGUGGAGGAAAGGAAUCCGGAGCUUCGAAGGCCUUUGGAUCACAGCGUUAAGCAACCCUGAGAAGAAAUUGCCUAGCAUGUUUCCUGUUGUUUAAAGCAAUAUAAUUUCUCUGUUUUACUAAGACCAGUUUAAGUCAGAGUUUUCUAACACCUGCAGCCAAAAGCUGUAAAUGACGUGAGAGCCCAGCCUGCGCCACUCCUCAGCGGCAGUCCUCGAGCACUUUCAAAGUCUCCUCCUUCCCCUGGCCAAGUGGUUACUGCUUACCAUCGUAGGACUCGCGGCCAUUUUGGCAGCAAUUAGGUGGUCCAGAGCACCCUUGCUUAUUCCUCACUUUGUCCUCCAAUCGGCGAUCCUGUCCAUGGGAACCCGCACCUCUCUGCCCCGGUUCUGCUGAGAGUCCCGAAGCAGCCAGGUGCCGGCUCAGCUUCCGUGAGCUGCCCCGCCACAGAGCUUUGUUUGCUCUGCUAGUGCCACUUCAUUCCGUGCUCUGGGGG